rnacentral:rRNA from 1 species
CCUACGGGUCGCACCAGUGGGGAAUAUUGCACAAUGGGCGCAAGCCUGAUGCAGCUAUGCCGCGUGUAUGAAGAAGGCCUUCGGGUUGUAAAGUACUUUCAGCGGGGAGGAAGGCGAUAAGGCUAAUAACCUUGUCGAUUGACGUUACCCGCAGAAGAAGCACCGGCUAACUCCGUGCCAGCAGCCGCGGUAAUACGGAGGGUGCAAGCGUUAAUCGGAAUCACUGGGCGUAAAGCGCACGCAGGCGGUCUGUCAAGUCGGAUGUGAAAUCCCCGGGCUCAACCUGGGAGCUGCAUUCGAAACUGGCAGGCUAGAGUCUUGUAGAGGGGGGUAGAAUUCCAGGUGUAGCGGUGAAAUGCGUAGGGAUCUGGAGGAAUACCGGUGGCGAAGGCGGCCCCCUGGACAAAGACUGACGCUCAGGUGCGAAAGCGUGGGGAGCAAACAGGAUUAGAUACCCGAGUAGUC